CAAUGAUUUUCUCUCAUCAUUGAUGUUUCUAUCUCUCUCUUCCUCUUCCUCUCUGAAAUCAAUAAAAAUAUGUGUGUGGUGGUGUUGUUGUUUGUAAAGGAGCGUAUCUUACUGAGCUGUGGCUACAAAGAAGCUGACCAGAAAGGAAGGCGGCCCUCUCCUCACUUCAACAGAACUUUCUACACAAAUCUCCACAAAGGCUUUUCAUCAUUAGCUACAGUGGGACAGUACUAAUUGAAUGAAAGAAUACAUGUAAAAGGCUUCGAAGAGUCCUUGAAACGUAAGUCACAGAGGAGAUGGCAAUUCUGAGCAGACAGUAGCGGGACACUGAAGGCUCCAGCCACACAAAGACAAAAAGGGGUUUCCUGACACAGGAAGUAGAAGGCUGAGAGAGCCUAAGUGUGAAGGCCUCUCAUGGGUGAGUAAGGAGGAGAGUAGUGCAAGAAGAGGUUGGAAUGUACACGGAAAAAUCUAGAAAGAUGGGGAAGAAACUUUAAGCGUAGGUUCUGCUGGGGAGUGGGACUCAGGGAGGUGUGGGGAAGAGGGUGUGGAGUGGAGAAAAGGAAUUUUACUUUUCACCUCAUUCCCUUCUCCACGGUUUAGAUUAUUUGCCAUAAGCAUGUAUUUUGUUAUUGGGGGAGGGGGAAGCUAGUUAAUAAAAAAUUGAGGAAUUUUAAUGAUUAAUAGUAAGGAAUCUAAUAACUGUUCCUUCUUUUAAGAAUCACCUCGUCUCAACUCUCCAGUUCCUCUUCAUGAAGCAAGAAAGUGGUGAAAUUUAUAUCUGUUCAUUGGUCUGAAAAUAGGACAGACAUUGCCUUCCCCUCCUAUCUAUUCAAUCAUCUUUCUCUUCGAGCCAGUAAUACUUGUUUUCAAUUCCCUUCGGUGAAACCCUGAAAUCAUCUCUUCCACUAGGACUAUUUUUACUUUUUUUAAAAAAGGCCUUUCAAAUUCAUGCAGGAUUCUUACUCUGUGGUCACUGUAAUGACAGAUGCACCCAGUGGCAG